CAUCAUAACCAGGGGUGCUCCGUAAGGGGCUGAGAUGCGCGAUGCUGCGCGAACCCUUUACAGCUGAUCCGGAUAAUACCGGCGGAGCGAGGGAAACAUGUUCAUUG
rnacentral:ncRNA from 2 species